CCGCCUCCUCCUCCUCCGCCUCGGCCGCGCGCCCGGAAGCGGAAGUGAGGUAGUAGCCCGGGCGUGGUGGCGGUUGCAGCAGUGUCGUCGCCUCCUUUCUCUCAGCGCCGCAGCGGAGCGGUAGCCCUUCCUGCCUCCCUCCCUCUCUCCCUUCCCCGUCAAGGCGGGCUCUGCGCGUUUCCUAGCAACGGUGGCGAGAGGACUGCAUUUCCCAGCAUGCCAAGGGCUGCUUUUGGGCUCCUCGCCCGCUCACUCCGCGCCAUUUGCGGUGGAACUUGCUGGAAGGAGGAAGCAGCCGUUGCUGCAAAGCGGGCCUCUCCGCCGCCUGGCCUCGGAGGAGGAGGAAGAGGCCUGUUGUCCCGGUUGUUCAUGGAAGAGCUACUGUAAAAUGGUGGCAAUUACACCUUUUCUAGAAAAAAUGGAUCAAUCAGUUUUAACUGAGUCUUGAAGAGUACUUUUUAAAUUGCACUUGAACUGGCUGUUGGUUGCAAGAUAAUGAUCUCUUCUAGAUACCAAUGUCAACAAUGGUACAUGUGAUUCUUCACUACAAAAAUGAAACAUGUCUCACACAUAGGAACUAGAAUGAAUGCAGCACUAUAGCACGUGAGAAGUAAAGAGUUCACACUUUAUAUGUGUUUGUUGUUGGGUGCUUUUUAAGUCAUUCCUGACAUUAUAGGAUUUUGUAAGCAAAAUCUGUUCAGAAGUUAUAUGUUUUUGAUGUUAUCUGAGGUUGAGAGAAUGUAACUUGCUGAAGGCCACUCAGUGGGUUUCCAUGGUUCAGUAGGAAUUCAAACCAUGAUAUAAGGGGUCAUAGUCCAAUGCUGAAACCAAUACACCAUACUGGUUCCAUUCAGCAAAUUCGAUUUUUUUUCCAUGUUAGGAGAGAUUUGAGAUACUGCAAGUCAUUUUCUGGUGUAAAUAAAUUUGAAUAAAUGCACAAUUAUCAUUCAUGAUUAAGCUUUAAUCAUAAACGAUACAUGUUUAUUCAUUCAACAUUUGUCAUCUUGUAUUCACAGUAAAAAUGUAUCAAAAAGGUAUACAGGCUUAUAUGUAUAAACCAAUUCUUUAGAUAGCCAUGUCCCCAUCCCAUAAAUAAUUGUAUGGAAAAACUAGUACCAAAA